rnacentral:rRNA from 1 species
AGUGAACGCUGGCGGUAGGCCUAACACAUGCAAGUCGAACGGCAGCACAGUAAGAGCUUGCUUUUACGGGUGGCGAGUGGCGGACGGUUGAGGAAUACAUCGGAAUCUACUUUUUCGUGGGGGAUAACGUAGGUAAACUUACGCUAAUAUCGCAUACGACCUACGGGUGAAAGCAGGGGAUCUUCGGACCUUGCGCGAUUGAAUGAGCCGAUGUCGGAUUAGCUAGUUGGCCGGGUAAAGGCCCACGAAGGCAACGAUCCGUAGCUGGUCUGAAAGGAUGAUCGGCCAUCCUGUAACUGAGCAGCGGUCCAGACUCCUACAGGAGCAAGCAGUGCGGAAUAUUGGACAAUGGGCGCAGACCUGAUCCAGCCAUACCGAGUGGGUGGAAAAGCCCUUCGGGUUGUAAAGCCCGUUUCUUGGGAAAGAAAAGCAGCAGCUUAAUAACCCGCUGUUCUGUCGGUACCCAAAGAAUAAGCACCGGCUACCUUCGUG